GCAGUCGUGGCCGAGUGGUUAAGGCGUUGGACUUUAAAUCCAAAGGGGAUUCCCCACGCAGGUUCGAAUCCUGCCGGCUGCG